CUCACACACUUUGUGUGUGCCUAUAUGCUAUUAAUAGAAGAUGACAUCUUUCUAGGCUAGGAAUUCUAUUUUUCAAAAAAUGGAUCUCGUGCUCAGUGGUUGGAUUGUAUUUAAUAAGAUUGUGCGGCUGAGAUUAAAUAGGUCAAAAAAUCUUCCUUCUUCUCUUCCCGUUUCUCCAUACCUUUAAUCGCGAGCGAGCCGCAACGCAGAAGAGGAGUGCACGACGCUGAAGAGAGAAGCCAAAGCUUCAAUUCCUAAUCACGAACGCAAAAUGAUUCAGAGAUAUAUAUGUGAAUUCCAGUAUGGGUUUCCUUCUCUUGAAAAUCCUGGGUUUAUUGAUUUGGGAUUUUUCUGAAGUUGUAAAGGCGCCGAAGGAAGCUACACAACGCAUGCUUUAGCAAUUAGCAGCAAGCAAGAUGCUUCCUUGCCCUCAAUCUUGUGUUGUUUUCUUCAACAAUUACUUGGCAUUCUUUCACUCUCAAUCCUCAAACCCUAAACCCAAUGAAUCUACAAAUACCCACCCCAAUAAGCAACAACUUGUCAGGGAGAAGAACCUACCCACCAAAAUUGGUAAUCUCGAGGACGCUUUGAGUUUGUUCAAUGUGAGGCUUCAAAUGCGCCCUCUGCCUUCUGUUGUCUGUUUCACCCAGAUACUUGGGAAAGUGAAACAUUAUUCGGCCAUGAUUUCUUUGUAUAACUAAAUGGGUUUGCUGGGAUUGUUCCUAAUGUGUAUACUCUAGCUAUCAUCAUCAAUCGCUUUUAUUGUUUGAA